rnacentral:lncRNA from 1 species
AUGCUCCCCAGAGGAGGAGGAGCAGAGGCCCAGGACUGGCAUCUGGACAUGCAGCUGACGGGCCAGCUGGUGCUGUCCGCUGCUGCCCUGCUCCUGCUGACUGCAGCCUACAGGCUGUACAAGUCCAGGCCAGCCCGGGCCCCACCGCGGGGGACAGACACCAAGGCCGAGGCCGAGGGGGAGGCAGGGGACUCCAGGCAGCCUGCCGCCCAGGAGGCUGUUCCCAGGGCACCACGGUGGGACCUGAGACGCCGAAGGGGAAGCAAGGGGGCCACAGGACUGCCAGGCUGCAGCUGGGAGAACACGGAGGCCUCCAGAGUCCCGGCCACCGGAGCUUCAUCCGCUGUCUCAGAAGCUGGAGAGGCUCGGAAAGCUGGAAGGAAACGUGCUGGAGAGGAGCACGCUGGGCAGCGCCUGGACUCUGACCUGCCAGCUCCUCGGUGCGGAGGCCAGGAAGCUGGAACAGCUGUGGACGGUAAGCCCGAGUUGCCCCAUUGCCCCGAUCAGUGCAGCAAACCCCCAAACUCCCCAGCUGGCCUCCCCGCUGUGGAGAGCGGCCGUGUGGGUGGUGAGCUCGCUCCCGGGCAGGACAGUGGACUCCCCAAGCAUCCAGGGAGCGGGGAGCAGGAAUCCCCCUAUGAAGGUCAGGCGGCCCACUGUGAAGGCCAGUGUGACAUGAACAACAGCUGGGUCUUUACCCACGCGUCAGGGGUCCACAGGGAGGAGGCAGGGGCCCUCCAGGCUGCCUCGGACCUGGGCCUGGCCCUGCGUCAGCAGGAGGGCGCCUCCGACGCCUCCUACACCUUCUCGUCUGUGGCCCGGGUUCGACUAGAGGAGAAUUUCAUACCGGAGAAGCUGGAGGGGAUCAGGCCCAGGCUGAAGGGCAAGGUGUACGAUUACUAUGUGGAGUCCACCUCUCAGGCCACCUCCAGGAGUAGGCUAGCCUCCCCAACAGCUGCCCCAGAAGGGGCUCCAGCCCCUGAGUCAGUGUCAGUCCCCCUGGGAACAAGGACAGCGUCUGGACCGCCCGCCGAUGCCGGAGAAGGCGGACUGGAGACGGCCGCCUCCCCCCAGUCUGACCCCUCACGCUCCCUGGGAGGCUUCAGCCGCAAGGAGAGCCUCCUUCAGAUCGUGGAGAACCCAGAGCUUCAGCUGCAGCUGGACGGCUUUGGGGAGGCUGCUCCAUCCUGCCCAGACCAGAGAGCGACGCCCACCUGCCCCAUGUCCCAGGAUUCUCCUGAGUCCAGCUCAGCCAGAAGCUGCGGAAAGCCCCACGUGCACUCUGUGGCUGGCACCAAUUUCUUCCACCCCCCGCUCAGCCCUGGAUCAGCCCCAGAGGUCCACCUGGAUCUGGGCAAUUGCUACGAGGCGCUGACCUUCGCCAAGAGGAAGAAACUGGAGCCCCUGAAGGAGGCCGCCUACAAGGUGAUGAGUGACAACUACCUGCAGGUCCUGCGGAGCCCGGAGGUCUACGGGUGCCUGAGCGGGGCGGAGCGGGAGCUGGUCCUCCAGCGCCGGCUCCGGGGGCGCAAGCACCUAGUGGUGGCCGACGUGUGCCCCCAGGAAGGCUCCGGCCGCCUCUGCUGCUACGACGACGAGCAGGACGCCUGGCGCCCGCUGGCCCGCCUGCCGCCCGAGGCUGUGUCCCGGGGCUGCGCCAUCUGCAGCCUCUUCAAUUACCUCUUCCUGGUGUCGGGCUGCCAGGGCGCGGGGCGCCAGCCCUCCAAGCGCGUCUUCUGCUACAACCCGCUGACGGGCAUCUGGAGCGAGGUGUGCCCCCUGAACCAGGCGCGGCCGCACUGCCGGCUGGUGGCCCUGGACGGGCAGCUGUACGCCGUCGGGGGCGAGUGUCUGAACACGGUGGAACGCUACGACCCCCGCCUGGACCGCUGGACCUUUGCGCCGCCGCUGCCCAAGGACACCUUCGCCCUGGCGCACACGGCGGCGGCGAGCGGGGGCGAGCUCUUCGUCACCGGGGGCUCGCUGCGCUACCUGCUGCUGCGCUUCUCCGCCCGGGAACAGCGCUGGCGCGCCGCGCCCACCGGGGGAGGCAGGGACCGCACGGCCGAGAUGGUGGCGGUCAGAGGCUUCCUCUAUCGCUUUGACCUCAACCGCAGCCUGGGCAUCAGCGUGUACCGCUGCAGCGCCAGCGCCCGCCUCUGGUACGAGUGCGCCACGUACCGGACGCCGUACCCCGACGCCUUCCAGUGCGCCGUGGUGGGCGAGCUCGUCUACUGCGUGGGGCGCCGGCGCACGCUGCGCUUCCUGGCCGACUGCAUCUCGCCCAGGUUUGUGCCCGAAAUGCUGCAGGCCUUCCCCUCCCCGCAGGGCACCCUCCUGCCCACCGUCCUGACCUUGCCCGGUCCUGAUGUGCCCCAGACCAGGGUCUAG